GAGGGUGUAGCUCAGUGGUAGAGUGCAUGCCUAGCAUGCACAAGGUCCUGGGUUCAAUACCCAGUACCUCUG
rnacentral:tRNA from 1 species